rnacentral:lncRNA from 1 species
UCGAUCAGAGACGGAUAUAGUUCAGCAUAAGUCAUCGGAAUUGGAUCAAAGGUGACCCUCUUCCUCUCAUAGCUGGUGCUGGCAUUGUUGUUGUUAUUUCGAGGCUGGUAGGCCUGCUGUUGCGGAUGCUGAUAUUGCUGAGUUUGCGAUUGUUGAUAAUGUUGAGCUUCCCUGAAAACAGGUGCUAUAUGAGCCACCUGAUGCUGAUUAUUGACUGGACGAGCAAUCUUCCUCUUCACAAAGGGUCUUCUUUUGACAUGGGAAGAC